rnacentral:piRNA from 1 species
UGAGAGAAGCAGAGGAGUCACACUCCACUCU